rnacentral:rRNA from 1 species
AACUCAAAGGAUUGACGGGGCCGCACAAGCGGUGGAGCAUGUGGUUUAAUUCGACGAUACGCGAGGAACCUUACCUGGGCUUAAAUGCUUAAUGACGUACUGGGAAACUGGUAUUUCUUCGGACAUUUUGCAAGGUGCUGCAUGGUUGUCGUCAGCUCGUGCCGUGAGGUGUCGGGUUAAGUCCCAUAACGAGCGCAACCCCUAUUGUUAGUUGCCAUCAGGUCAUGCUGGGGACUCUAACAAAACUGCCCGCGUAAGCGUGGAGGAAGGUGGGGAUGACGUCAAAUCAGCACGGCCCUUACGUCCAGGGCUACACACGUGCUACAAUGGCCGGUACAGAGGGCAGCCACUUGGUGACAAGGAGCAAAUCUCAAAAGCCGGUCUCAGUUCGGAUCGGAGUCUGCAACUCGACUCCGUGAAGUUGGAUUCGCUAGUAAUCGUAGAUCAGCAAUGCUACGGUGAAUACGUUCCCGGGCCUU